AAAUAAAUUUUUUAUGGUUUUGAUAAUUUAUUUAAAGUUUAUUUUACAUAUAAAUUUUAGUAUUAAUUUUACUUUAUUUUAAUAAUAAUUUAAUUAAUUUGUAGUAAUUAAUAUUAAACAAUUUAAGUAAUUAAGGUUUAGUAAUAUUUAAUAUUAAUAACAAAUUUUGUGCCAGCAGUUGCGGUUAAACAAAAGUUAAAUUUAAAUUUUAUUAGUUAUUAAUAAAUAAUUAAAUUUAAAAUAAAUAAUUUAUUUAUUUUUUAAUAUAAAUAAUAUAAAUUUUAAAUUAUUAAGUGAAAUUUUAAUUUAAUUAAAUAUUAUUUUUAAUUUAUGAUUUAAAAAAUUUUAUAAAAAACUAGGAUUAGAUACCCUAUUAUUAAAAUUUAAAUUAGUAAUACUAAAAUAGUAAGUAAUUAUUUAUUGAAACUUAAAUAAUUUGGCGGUAUUUUAGUUCAUUUAGAGGAAUCUGUUUAAUAAUUGAUAAUCCACGAAUAAAUUUACUUAAUUUUUUAUUUUGUAUAUCGUUGUUAAAAAAAUAUUUUUUAAUAAUAAUAAUAUUUAAAAAUUUUAAUUAAAAAUUAAAUCAGAUCAAGAUGCAGAUUAUAAUUAAGAAUAUAAUGGAUUACAAUAAAUUUAUUUAUAUGAAUAUUAAUUUGUAAAAUUUAAUUGAAGGUGGAUUUAAAUGUAAUUUUAUUUAGUUUAAUAAAAUGAUUGAAAAUUAAGAUAUGUACAUAUUGCCCGUCGCUUUCAUAUGAAUAAAAGUUGGAAUAAGUCGUAACAAAGUAGAGGUACUGGAAAGUGUUUCUAGAAAGAA
rnacentral:ncRNA from 1 species